rnacentral:lncRNA from 10 species
UUAGCAUCCUCAAUAUCUUUAUAGAUAUGUCCUUUAAAUUUUAAAAUCAAGACAAUCUUCCUUCAAUUAUGAAAGAUAAACCUAGAGUCAUCGUCUAUGCAAACAAAAUCACUAUGAGUUACAUUUGUAUGUUUUCUCAUAAGAUGGCUUAUCUUUGAAAGGGGUUACCAAUCUUUCUUUAUUUCUUAUGCAUUUGAUUAAGCAUAUGGAGGUUAAUUGACUUCAUUAUUUAUUAAUAAUUGUGAUGGCUAAUAUUGAAAGUCAGCUUGAUUGGAUUGAGGAAUACAAGGUAUUAAUCCUCGGUGUGUCUGUGUGAGUGUUGCCAAAAGAGAUUAACAUUUGAGUCAGUGGGGUGGGGAAGGCAGAUCCACCCUUCAUCUGUUGGGCACAAUCUAAUCAGCUUCCAGCGAAUAUAAAGCAGGCAGAAAAACGUGAAAAGGAGAUAUGGGCCUAGGCUCCCAGCCUACAACUUUCUCAUGUGCUGGAUCCUUCCUGCCCUGGAAUAUUGGACUCCAAGUUCUUCAGUUUUGGGACUCACACUGGCUCUUCUUGCUCCUCAGCUUGCAGACAGCCUAUUGUGGGACCUUGUGAUCGUGUUUCGUGCAACGGAUACAAGCAAUGAAAUUUCAACAGAAAUUUCCUGGGGUAGGAUGCAGAGUUCUUAGGAAAUCUUCUGUUUUCUUAUAAAAAACUUUCACUAAUGUGGAAGUUGAUAAUAGUGCACC